AAUCAACGCUGGCGGCGUGCCUCAGACAUGCAAGUCGAACGAUUAAAGCUCCCUUCGGGGAGUGCAUAAAGUGGCGCACGGGUGAGUAACACGUAAGUAAUCUACCCUCGAGUGGGGAAUAACAACCGGAAACGGUUGCUAAUACCGCAUAAUGCAGCGGCACCGCAAGGUGACAGUUGUUAAAGGAGUAAUUCGCUUGAGGAGGAGCUUGCGGCAGAUUAGCUUGNGGUAAGGUAACGGCUUACCAAGGCUACGAUCUGUAUCCGGUCUAAGAGGACGGUCGGACACACUGACACUGAA
rnacentral:rRNA from 1 species